CUACGGGGGGCUCCAGUCGAGAAUCUUCCGCAAUGCGCGAAAGCGUGACGGAGCAAUGCCGCGUGCAGGAUGACGGCCUUCGGGUUGUAAACUGCUGUCACUCGGGAUGAAUUUUGACAGUACCGAGAGAGGAAGCCACGGCUAACUACGUGCCAGCAGCCGCGGUAAUACGUAGGUGGCGAGCGUUAUUCGGAUUUAUUGGGCGUAAAGGGUUCGUAGGAGGUAUGGUAAGUCUGAUGUGAAAUCCAGUGGCUCAACCACUGAACUGCAUUGGAUACUGCCAUGCUAGAGUAUCGGAGAGGUAAGCGGAAUUCCUGGUGUAGCGGUGGAAUGCGUAGAUAUCAGGAGGAACACCGAUGGCGAAGGCAGCUUACUGGACGAUAACUGACUCUGAGGAACGAAAGCUAGGGUAGCAAACAGGAUUAGAUACCCCAGUAGUC
rnacentral:rRNA from 1 species